GACGAGUCGAGUAGUUUGGGAAUGCUGCUCUAAAUGGGAGGUAUAUUUCUUCUAAAGCUAAAUACUGGCCAGAGACCGAUAGCGCACAAGUAGAGUGAUCGAAAGAUGAAAAGCACUUUGAAAAGAGGGUUAAAUAGCACGUGAAAUUGUUGAAAGGGAAGCGUUUAUCACCAGACUUUUUCUAGGGGGAUCAUCCGGUGUUCUCACCGGUGCACUUCCCCUGGUUGAGGCCAGCAUCGGUUUUCGGAGGGGGAUAAAAGCUU
rnacentral:rRNA from 1 species